CACAAACGACGACCUCCGCUGCAGCAACUUGCUGACCGACACGCGGGCAUCAACGACUCCGCCGACGCCGCCACCACACCUCCCCCUCUCCCCUCGCACAAACAGUUCUUUCGCUGUAUACACCACCUGAACCGGGAGAGAGUCGCCCUAGGAGCGUACAGGACGUCUCCCACUAGCUUCUAGUGUGAGGGACGGAUCGUUGGGCAUCUCCUCAUACAUCUGAGAUCUUUUUUUUCUCGGGUGUUGUCGGCCGCUUUUAGUUGGUGGUGGUGCGGCGCGACUCCCUCGGUCGCUAGACUCCAAAGCGGCGCGCUAUUUCAGUUCUAGCGCUGUUUUGGGGUGCAACCUGCACAAGUGUACGCCUAAGAUGCUAGUAGUCGAUGGUUGUACAUGGAUAGCUAGUCCACUACAGUAGAAGAAGCACGAAGAGGUCCUUUGGUACCCCCCCUCCCCCCCUGCCGCAGAGAACGACGCUCAGAUAUCUGCACACCCGAAGACGCACUUUGCUCACACGCGGAAUACCGAUCGUUGGGCGAGAGGGGGGGGGUGUUCUGCAUGCGCGUGUGUGCACGUUGGUGUAUCGCUGAUCGUCUCGCUGCCGCUCUUGGGUACGUGAGAAAAACGGAGAGGUAGGGUCGACGACUGACCGCCUUGCCGUGCGGUGGUAUCAACCCUUUCCUACUGCUGCAGCCGAUAAUCGUAAUGGAGGGAAGGCCCCAUUACGAGGUCCUGUGCAUUGCCAACUUCAGCUCUGCCGAGGAGGUGCGCCUUGCAUACAAGUCGCUCGUCCUCAAGUACCACCCCGACAAGAACUUGGGCGACCCAACAGCGGCGGAGCGCUUCCGCGCAGUGUGCCGCGCUUACGAAGUGCUUUCGAAUGAAGAAACGAAACGCAAGUACGACCUCGCACUGCGCGCUGCCCUAUUCGAGUAUGGCCCGCGCGCUAGUGGCAAAACCGGCGGCCAUGGAGGUGCCAAUCCGUACUCCAUGAAGGCCCCCUCUAUGUCGGAUAUUUACAGAGAACUGUACCAGCGACAAGCCGCGCGGGCUAGCACACGCAACCGCACCUCGUCGGCGCCGCCGCAAAGUGGCAAGGCAUCUACCUCGCAGUACACCAAGGCGCAGCAGGAGCACUUUCGCAAGCGAGAGAGGGAGCGGCAACAGGAGCUGCGCCGUCAGAGGGAGAGGGAGAGGAAGGAGCAGCGCGAUCGAGAGCGGGAGGCGCUGCGCAGGGAGCAAGAGCGGCAAGAAGAGCUGCUUCAGCAGCGGUGGCGCCUGCAGCAGCAGCAACAGAAGGUGUACCCCACGCGCGGAUCAACACGCAUCACAAGCACAGCUGGUGUUGCAUCACUGUCGACUGGCACAACUAGCGACCCCGCAGCCCACAUCGACGACGUUAACGGCGUCUCGCCUCGCAUGCGACGUGGAUCCCCACGCGCGACGACGGAGGGGGUGCGUAGCGGCAUUGAAAGCCAUGCGCCGAACACGGUGCUCCUUGGCACGCCGGCGCGGCUGACAAUGUUGGCCCGCAAUGGCGUCGCUACCACACCGCGAACGUUCCGGGCGUACUCGCCAUUAUCUCUGUCGCCACGGCCGGCCGCCAAGCCUCGUUGUGCCGAGGCCGGCGCGCCUGGUGAGCCGCCGUCGUCAUCCGCGUGGCGGGAGGAGGAGACAAUGGACGCGGAGGCGGUGGAGGGUGGGCUGUCGACAGGCUGGUACACGCCCCUCAACGCACUCGUGAACAGCGGCGACCUGGAGGAGGGAGCGGCCCACUACAGCAGCUGCGCCGGCUCACCCGUUGGUGCUGAGGAGCAGGCGAUGGCGCAGUCGGCGGGCGUAAAUCGGGCCUUCCGCACGGGGAGUGCACCGCUUUUGCGACCUGCGUCUGGCGUUGCACGCGCCAGUGGCGUAGAUGCACGGUCGGCGGCGUCUGCUCAGCCGAGCACCCGCAACACGCACACCACGUCUGAGGACUGUAGCGAAGAUGGCACUGCGGCUGGCUGCGGAGACGACGGUCACCGCACGCCGUCCUCGUACCGUCCGGCGACGCGCAUCACGACGGUGAACCGAGUCGCGAUCCCGUCCGCGUCUUCCACGGCCACAACACCACGCCACUGGGGAACACCUCGCAGCUUCACGAACUUUCACGCAGCAGCGGCAGCGUCACCGGUUUCCUUGGCCGCGUCGCCGCGGGGCCAGCCGAUCACUCCGCGUUGUAGCAGCAGUGCGCAGAUGACGGCAAACGGCCGCAGCCAUAGCUCGUCUGCCGGAGCAGCAUCGACUGAGGCCAGGGCAAGCCAAUCCUUGCAUAAGAGCAGCAGCAUCAACGGCGCCACCAGCCGCAGCGACCCCGUGCGCGCCUCCUUCCUCCACCGAGUGCGCCCCAUGCCGAGUCUAGCGGACAAGGACAAGGAGGUGCUAGACAAGAAGCGGCGAGAGCGACUGGCGAAGGAGAAGGAGAGGCAGCGAUCAGUUCGACUCGCUGAGGAGGAGCGCCAGUUUCGUCGACUCGCUCGCGCGGCAAAGCAUCAGCGCGAGAACGCUGCCGCCAUCUCUGCUGCCGCGGCAGCUGCGAAGGCGGAGGUAGAGGAGCCGCUGUCCUUUGAGAAAGAGCUGGAGUACCUCGUGCAUGACGAGGCGAGUGAGCGGGAGCAGCUGAUCGAGCGAGAGGAACAGCUCGCGUGGCGCCGCCUACAUCGCCAACAAGCGAAAGUGAUUCAGGCUGUCUUGGUGCGACGCCGCCUCGCCGCGCUCACGACGGAGGAGAUGGCGUGGCGCAACGGUUUGCUGCAAGUGUGCUGGGUAGAGCGCGACCGCUCCUUCUUGUGCUUCUACGAGCGACUCGACCGCCUGUACCUCGAGGGCCGUGAGGGGCGUGAUAGGCGUCAGCUGGUUGGCCGCGAGGCAGCUGACAGAUACCAUGUACGUCGGGCCUCACAGCGGCGCUCCUCCAUGGCAACUGAGGAGGCGUCGCAGCGGCGCCAGCUCUCCGGUAGCGUCGUGCAGGCGGUUCUUGGCCAGGGCGUGCCAGCCACAGAGGCGGUGGAUUGCGCGCCCUCCCCCGCCGCGGAGGCGAAAGCUCGCCGCAGCCCUUUCCCCAGCGUUUACGAUGAUGCUGCUCAGCUCGAGCAUCGGUGUGAUGCCGGCGUGAGGCUCGCGGGGAACCAACCGUGGCACCAGCAACAGUCGGAAUACCAGCAGCAGCACCCGGCCGAGUGGCUGCCCCCCGCGGCACUCGCUGCUCAGACCACUAGCGCACUGGACGCGAAGAGAGGCCGCGCCAGGAGCGCUGUCAGCACCACCGCCGUGACGGAUAUCUCUACGACUGGGCAUCUGGAAUCUUUCCUUUCGGCGACCGGCACGCUGGAGGCGGCGCCCGCGAUGGCGGACAGGCUGUCGGGCGGUAGUGCCUUUGCAAGGGCAUCUGCGCAAGCGAGCCCGUACGCAUCCCCCAAGAAACGCAGCUCGUUGGACUCGUCGAGCAGCACAGAUUGCCCUGCCGUCGCCGUCACCACCUCCGCCAAUGGCGAGACAAAGAUGUUACUGGCUGGUGCGGAGCGGCGCCUACUGAUGCUCGUCAGCGACGAGUCUCGCCAACGCAGUCUGCUUGUGAAGCAGCAGCAACAAGAGGAGAUGGCGCUGCGUCGUCGGCGCGCCAUGGCCCUACAUUGUGUCUUUGCCAAGGAGAAGGAGAAUGCUGUCAAGCACGCGCAGCGUUGUGCGCUGGUGGAGAUAACCGCGCUCAGGGCGCAGCUGCGCACGUUGCAGCGGCAAACGCGACGCUCCUCGUCUCCACGCAGUAUGGAGGGCGGUUUCUCUGCCGCUGCCGCCAGCGCCGCUUCCGGUUCCCCUGCCAAUUCCGUAUCGUGGAAGAUGGAGUCCUCGGCAGUGUCGCGCCACGGCUCGCCACUGCCUAUGCUGCCUCGGCCCACCUCCGAAGCCGCCGCCGCAGCGUGUGCAUCAUCGCCCGACACGGCGCGUGCGCUUUCGGUUGCGAGUAUCCUCACAGCCGCAGCGGCGCUGAGCGGCUGGACGGCAUUGCCGGACUCAGAUGGGGAGGAGGAUUAGGUACUACAGGAGGUCGGUGCAGUUAGCUUCUGCACGUAUGACGGCAACGCGAAGAAUGCCUUCUCUGAGCUGCUCCCUUCCGAUCGCUUUUUUCUUUUUUUUUUCAAAAUCUGUAUUUCGGCGGCACCACAGCCCCAUCUUUCCGCCCACACACCCACACCUCGACACAAAUAUUUGGAUACCGCAGACGUGAAGCGUUGUCCCUUGCUUGGACCUUCUUCACACCCUCUUUCCUGCCUGGCGUUCUUGUUCCCUCUCCUUCACUCUCUCUCCCCCUUUUUGUUUCUUGUUCUCUCUUAUGUACUGUGAACACGUUCUCUUUGUUGUCUUCUUCGCUUGUCAGUUUUAGAGUUUAUUGUGAGCCGCCUCGACUUCUUUCCUUGGGCGGUUGUGUGUGUGUGUGUACCUCUCUCCUUCCCUCUCCCUCUUCUCGCUCCCUCGUCGUGCGUGCCGUGUGUCGUAUACGCACGAGCGUGCCUCGGGACAGAGUGUUCUCAUGCAUGCGUGCGCUCGUGUGCAUGUGUGUAUGUGUGUGUCGGCCGACGCGUGUGACGCACUCUCUCGCCACCGUCAAUUUUUUUUUUUCCGUCGACCCUUUUCCUCUCUGUCUCUUGAGGUCUCCGUCCUCCCUCCUGUCACCCGUUGCCUCUGCCAGAUGCUUCUCGUCCUCUGUCGGUUGCCCUUCCGCCGCCCGCUUCUCUCCUUCGUCGGCCCUCACUCACCAAAUGCCGCAUGUAGGCGUUCAGUCGUGUUUGUUCGCUGGCGCACAGCUCCUCUCUGACGGACUGCCGCCUCUCGUGCGUCUCUCCCCCUCUCUUUGCGUGUGUGUGCUGCGCUGCCACGCCAGCAGGACGAAACAGGAGAACACGUACUCGAAGGCGCCCGCGACACGCAUGCACUUCAGCCAGAUAUGAUGGGGGAGAAGGGAGAGGGCAGACGGGCGCUGAAUGCACCUGCAAAUCAUUAGGUGCUCCCUCUCGCGUGUGCUGCGAACGGGUGGGGUCAGGGGGAACAAAGACCUACACCCUUGCUAUGCUCGACUGGUGCAGCAUUCCACUUUUCAGAGACUGUGUGUGGGUGAUCCUGUGCGUUUGUAUAAAAAAGGGAAGGGAGCGCGAGGGCGAGCACAUUUUUCCUUAAUUUUUACCUUCAUGAUACCGGCCGCCUCAUCGUGAUGUCAUGAUCCAGUGCCCACUCGUUGUGAUAAUGCCGAGCAGCCUGCAGCCUGCCCUCUGGCGCGGCUGCGGGCUCUCUGGCGCCGGUGGACAGGGCUUGGCUGGCGCUGUGCCGAAGAGACGUAUAGCCAUGCUCACGCCUGGACCAGCCCACUACGAGUCCUGCCCGCGUAUUCAGCACGUACAUGCAUCCACCAUCUCUUCUCCUGCUGUUACUGCGCUGCGGUGAUGUCGUGCGUAGUUCUGGGCCUCGGCUGCUGUGUAUGCGCAGUAGAAUAGCAGUGGGCUGGGCGACGCCGAAGGGCGUCGGUGGACCCCGCUCCCUGUCAUUGCCGCCGUGCGACACAGCGGUGGGUGGGCGGCGGUUGCGUGUGUGCGUCUAUGUGUUGACCUCUUUGCCAUGGAAUAUGGACGCUUUUGUAUUG
rnacentral:misc_RNA from 1 species